GUGAAUCAUCGAAUCUUUGAACGCAUAUUGCGCCCUCUGGUAUUCCGGAGGGCAUGCCUGUCCGAGCGUCAUUACCACCUUCAAGCGCAGCUUGGUUGUUGAGCCAAUUGUUCUUUUAAUGGACAGGCUUGAAAUGCAGUGGCGAUGUCGAGUCUUGAUGCCCGAGCGUAUGGAGCUCUGUCACACGCUUUAGUGGCUCAGCCGGCAUUCUGUCGAUUGUUUAUUUGGGCCUAAAAACCUAAGAUUUAACCUCGGAUCAGGUAAGGAUACCCGCUGAACUUAAGCAUAUCAAUAAGCGGA
rnacentral:misc_RNA from 1 species